rnacentral:rRNA from 1 species
AACGAACGCUGGCGGCAGGCUUAACACAUGCAAGUCGAACGGGCGUAGCAAUACGUCAGUGGCGGACGGGUGAGUAACACGUGGGAAUAUGCCUUUCGGUUCGGAACAACUCGGGGAAACCCGUGCUAAUUCCGGAUACGCCCUUACGGGAAAGAUUUAUCGCCGAAAGAUUAGCCCGCGUUGGAUUAGCUAGUUGGUGAGGUAAAGGCUCACCAAGGCGACGAUCCAUAGCUGGUUUGAGAGAACGACCAGCCACACUGGGACUGAGACACGGCCCAGACUCCUACGGGAGGCAGCAGUGGGGAAUCUUGCGCAAUGGGCGAAAGCCUGACGCAGCAACGCCGCGUGGAGGAUGAAGGCCCUUGGGUUGUAAACUCCUGUCGGCGUGGGAAGAAGUUGUUCGCGACUAAUACUCGCGGACA